UACGACCAUGUCACAUAGAAACGCUGAUUCUCGUACGAUCGCAAAAGUUAAGCAACGUCGAGCCAGGUCAGUACCUAGAUGCGUUACCACUUGGGAAUAUCAGGUGCUG